GGAAGCUGCUAACCCGACCCGGAUUGGCGCUGAGGUGGCCCGUGGGGCAGGGCAGAUGAUUCUGGACCAGAUGAAGCCUGAGGAGCCUUCCAGCUCUAAGAUAGCAGGAUAGGAGACUUCUAAGAUUGGAGCUGCAGAAGACUUGCCAGCCCACCAGCACAAUGUCAGGAAGCCAUACACCUGCCUGUGGCCCUUUCUCAGCCCUGACUCCGAGCAUAUGGCCCCAGGAGAUCUUGGCCAAGUACACGCAGAAGGAAGAGUCAGCAGAGCAACCAGAGUUCUACUACGAUGAGUUUGGUUUCCGUGUGUACAAGGAAGAAGGUGAUGAGCCUGGCUCCAAUCUGCUGGCGAACUCCCCUCUGAUGGAGGAUGCUCCACAGAGGCUGCGGUGGCAGGCCCACCUGGAGUUCACCCAUAACCACGAUGUGGGGGAUCUCACCUGGGACAAGAUUGCUGUCUCCCUACCCCGCUCUGAGAAGCUCCGCUCCCUGGUGCUGGCCGGCAUCCCACAUGGCAUGAGGCCACAGCUGUGGAUGCGGCUCUCUGGGGCCCUGCAGAAGAAGAGGAACUCUGAGCUGUCCUACCGCGAGAUUGUGAAGAACAGCUCCAACGAUGAGACCAUCGCUGCCAAGCAGAUCGAGAAGGACCUGCUCCGCACCAUGCCCAGCAAUGCCUGCUUCGCCAGCAUGGGUAGCAUCGGGGUGCCCCGCCUGCGCAGGGUGCUCCGGGCCCUGGCCUGGCUCUACCCAGAGAUCGGCUACUGCCAGGGCACCGGCAUGGUGGCCGCCUGCCUCCUGCUGUUCCUGGAGGAGGAGGAUGCCUUCUGGAUGAUGUCUGCCAUCAUCGAGGACCUGCUCCCCGCCUCCUACUUCAGCACCACCCUGCUGGGCGUCCAGACUGACCAGCGGGUCCUGCGCCACCUCAUUGUCCAGUACCUGCCUCGCCUGGACAAGCUGCUCCAGGAGCAUGACAUUGAGCUGUCCCUGAUCACACUGCACUGGUUCCUCACGGCCUUCGCCAGCGUGGUGGACAUCAAGCUGCUCCUGCGCAUCUGGGACCUGUUUUUCUACGAGGGCUCCCGGGUGCUGUUCCAGCUCACGCUGGGCAUGCUGCACCUCAAGGAGGAAGAGCUGAUCCAGUCAGAGAACUCGGCCUCCAUCUUCAACACGCUAUCGGAUAUCCCGUCGCAGAUGGAGGACGCGGAGCUGCUUCUGGGGGUGGCCAUGCGGCUGGCCGGCUCCCUCACCGAUGUGGCCGUGGAGACUCAGCGCCGCAAGCACCUGGCCUAUCUCAUUGCAGACCAGGGCCAGCUCCUGGGGGCCGGCACCCUCACCAACCUCUCUCAGGUUGUUCGCCGCAGGACCCAGCGGAGGAAGUCCACCAUCACUGCUCUGCUCUUUGGUGAGAGCUCUGCGAGUGCCAGGCAGUGUGGGCAUGCGGGAGUCUGUCCUCACGCUCAUGUGGACGUGGAGCUUCCUCCUCGGGGGCCUGGAGUGGGCUGUGGUCACCAUUGCUCUCUGGGCCUCCUAGGGGAGGAUGACCUGGAGGCACUCAAGGCCAAGAACAUCAAGCAGACGGAACUGGUGGCUGACCUCCGGGAAGCCAUCCUGCGCGUGGCACGCCACUUCCAGUGCACAGACCCCAAAAACUGCAGCGUGGUGAGUCGCCAGCUCCCUGGGCUGCUACCAAACAUGGCCCUAACUCCUCCAACCCCCUUGGUGGGCCUGUUUUCACUGUGGCAGGAGCUGACUCCAGACUACAGCAUGGAGAGCCACCAGCGGGACCACGAGAACUACGUGGCAUGCUCACGCAGCCACCGGCGCCGAGCCAAGGCCCUGCUGGACUUUGAGCGGCACGACGACGACGAGCUGGGCUUCCGCAAGAACGACAUCAUCACAAUCGUGUCUCAGAAGGACGAGCACUGCUGGGUGGGGGAGCUCAACGGCCUGCGAGGCUGGUUUCCAGCCAAGUUCGUGGAAGUCCUGGAUGAGCGCAGCAAAGAGUACUCCAUCGCGGGGGAUGACUCGGUGACGGAGGGGGUCACAGACCUCGUGCGAGGGACCCUCUGCCCGGCCCUUAAGGCCCUGUUCGAACAUGGACUGAAGAAGCCAUCCCUGCUUGGGGGCGCCUGCCACCCCUGGCUGUUUAUCGAGGAGGCUGCAGGCCGGGAGGUCGAGAGAGACUUUGCCUCCGUGUAUUCCCGUCUGGUGCUCUGUAAGACCUUCAGGUUGGAUGAAGAUGGCAAAGUCCUGACCCCGGAGGAGCUGCUCUACCGGGCCGUGCAGUCUGUGAACGUGACCCACGAUGCAGUGCAUGCACAAAUGGAUGUGAAGCUCCGCUCACUGAUCUGCGUGGGGCUCAAUGAGCAGGUGCUGCACCUGUGGCUGGAGGUGCUCUGCUCCAGCCUGCCCACCGUGGAGAAGUGGUACCAGCCCUGGUCCUUCCUGCGCAGCCCAGGCUGGGUCCAGAUCAAGUGUGAGCUCCGAGUCCUCUGCUGCUUUGCCUUCAGCCUCUCCCAGGACUGGGAGCUCCCUGCAAAGAGAGAGGCGCAGCAGCCCCUGAAGGAGGGCGUCCGGGACAUGCUGGUGAAGCACCACCUCUUCAGCUGGGAUGUGGACGGGUGACCCCCUCCUCCCCAGCCCAACCUCGGGCCUGCGUCUGAGGUGGCCCAGGGAAGAGCAGCUCCAGAGCCCUGGCCAGGGCCCCGGGAUAUCAGGCUGCCCCGCUCCACGUUCCCCAGCACAUCCCAGGUGGUGGGAGCAGAGGGUACCCUGCCCCACCAGGGUCCUUAGGGAUGCUCUAGGCCAAACCACAGUUUGUACCAAAAACCUUGUGAGGAGGUGGGGGAGCCAUGUCUGUGCUCAGGAAGAGGGAAGGGGAUGGGGGUGGCUAGUAGGCUCCUGGCCUCUUUGGUUUAUAAAUAAACUGUGUCUGUCUUUGAGAAA
rnacentral:sRNA from 1 species